AUUGAACGCUGGCGGAAUGCUUUACACAUGCAAGUCGAACGGCAGCACGGACUUCGGUCUGGUGGCGAGUGGCGAACGGGUGAGUAAUGUAUCGGAACGUGCCCAGUCGUGGGGGAUAACGUAGUGAAAAUUACGCUAAUACCGCAUACGAUCUAUGGAUGAAAGCGGGGGAUCGCAAGACCUCGCGCGCUUGGAGCGGCCGAUAUCAGAUUAGGGAGUUGGUGGGGUAAAGGCCCACCAAGCCAACGAUCUGUAGCUGGUCGGAGAGGACGACCAGCCACACUGGAACUGAGACACGGUCCAGACUCCUACGGGAGGCAGCAGUGGGGAAUUUUGGACAAUGGGCGAAAGCCUGAUCCAGCCAUUCCGCGUGCAGGAUGAAGGCCCUCGGGUUGUAAACUGCUUUUGUACAGAACGAAAAGGUUUCUACUAAUACUAGGAGCUCAUGACGGUACUGUAAGAAUAAGCACCGGCUAACUACGUGCCAGCCGCCGCCGUAA
rnacentral:rRNA from 1 species